rnacentral:rRNA from 1 species
GAUCAUGGCUCAGGACGAACGCUGGCGGCGCGCCUAACACAUGCAAGUCGAACGGAGUUGAGAGGAGCUUGCUUUUCUUGACUUAGUGGCGAACGGGUGAGUAACGCGUGAGUAACCUGCCCUGGAGUGGGGGACAACAGUUGGAAACGACUGCUAAUACCGCAUAAGCCCACGGAUUCGCAUGGAUCUGCGGGAAAAGGAUUUAUUCGCUUCAGGAUGGACUCGCGUCCAAUUAGCUAGUUGG